rnacentral:piRNA from 1 species
UGAGAGUCUGAAAUCCUGGAAUUUCUCCCA